GAGUUUGAUCCUGGCUCAGAUUGAACGCUGGCGGCAUGCCUUACACAUGCAAGUCGAACGGCAGCACGGGAGCUUGCUCCUGGUGGCGAGUGGCGAACGGGUGAGUAAUGCAUCGGAACGUAUCCUGGAGUGGGGGAUAACGUAGCGAAAGUUACGCUAAUACCGCAUAUUCUGUGAGCAGGAAAGCGGGGGACCUUCGGGCCUCGCGCUCUUGGAGCGGCCGAUGUCGGAUUAGCUAGUUGGUGAGGUAAAGGCUCACCAAGGCGACGAUCCGUAGCAGGUCUGAGAGGAUGAUCUGCCACACUGGAACUGAGACACGGUCCAGACUCCUACGGGAGGCAGCAGUGGGAAUUUUGGACAAUGGGGCAACCCUGAUCCAGCCAUGCCGCGUGAGUGAAGAAGGCCUCGGUU
rnacentral:rRNA from 1 species